rnacentral:snoRNA from 1 species
CUUCUUUGUGCGGCAGCCAAAGCUUUAACCGUGUUGCUUGUCUGUUCUUUUUAUAUCCUUACGAGUUGGCGAGCGUCAAGCUUUUGGCGAGAUUAAAAUUUUACACAAGCGAUCAUCUUAACGCCCUUUCGUUAAGUUCGUAUUUAAACGAAUUUAGUGAGGGCUGGUAGAUCAAACAUUU